rnacentral:rRNA from 1 species
GUCGAACGGUAGAGGGGGCAACCCCUUGAGAGUGGCGAACGGGUGAGUAAUAUAUCGGAACGUGCCCAGUCGUGGGGGAUAACGUAGCGAAAGUUACGCUAAUACCGCAUACGAUCUACGGAUGAAAGCGGGGGAUCGCAAGACCUCGCGCGAUUGGAGCGGCCGAUAUCAGAUUAGGUAGUUGGUGAGGUAAAGGCUCACCAAGCCAACGAUCUGUAGCUGGUCUGAGAGGACGACCAGCCACACUGGAACUGAGACACGGUCCAGACUCCUACGGGAGGCAGCAGUGGGGAAUUUUGGACAAUGGACGCAAGUCUGAUCCAGCCAUUCCGCGUGCAGGAUGAAGGCCCCCGGGUUGUAAACUGCUUUUGUACGGAACGGAAAGGUCUCUCUUAAUACGGGGGGCUCAUGACGGUACCGUAAGAAUAAGCACCGGCUAACUACGUGCCAGCAGCCGCGGUAAUACGUAGGGUGCAAGCGUUAAUCGGAAUUACUGGGCGUAAAGCGUGCGCAGGCGGUUAUAUAAGACAGAUGUGAAAUCCCCGGGCUCAACCUGGGAACUGCAUUUGUGACUGUAUAGCUAGAGUACGGUAGAGGGGGAUGGAAUUCCGCGUGUAGCAGUGAAAUGCGUAGAUAUGCGGAGGAACACCGAUGGCGAAGGCAAUCCCCUGGAUCUGUACUGACGCUCAUGCACGAAAGCGUGGGGAGCAAACAGGAUUAGAUACCCUGGUAGUCCACGCCCUACACGAU